rnacentral:rRNA from 1 species
AUUGAACGCUGGCGGCAUGCCUUACACAUGCAAGUCGAACGGUAACAGGCCUUCGGAUGCUGACGAGUGGCGAACGGGUGAGUAAUACAUCGGAACGUGCCUAGUAGUGGGGAUAACUACUCGAAAGAGUGGCUAAUACCGCAUGAGAUCUACGGAUGAAAGCAGGGGAUCGCAAGACCUUGUGCUACUAGAGCGGCCGAUGGCAGAUUAGGUAGUUGGUGGGAUAAAAGCUUACCAAGCCGACGAUCUGUAGCUGGUCUGAGAGGACGAUCAGCCACACUGGGACUGAGACACGGCCCAGACUCCUACGGGAGGCAGCAUUGGGGAAUUUUGGACAAUGGGCGCAAGCCUGAUCCAGCAAUGCCGCGUGCAGGAUGAAGGCCUUCGGGUUGUAAACUGCUUUUGUACGGAACGAAAAGCUCUGGGUUAAUACCCUGGGGUCAUGACGGUACCGUAAGAAUAAGCACCGGCUAACUACGUGCCAGCCGCCGCGGUAAAAC